AGAACGAACGCUGGCGGCAUGCCUAACACAUGCAAGUCGAACGCUUCCGGGGCUUCGGUCGCGGAGGAGUGGCGCACGGGUGAGUAGCGCGUGGGAACCUGCCCUGUUGUGGGGGAUAACCGAGGGAAACUUCGGCUAAUACCGCAUACGCCCCGGGACUUGGUCUUCGGAUUAGGUCUGGGGGGAAAGAUUGAUCGCAGCAGGAGGGGCCCGCGUCGGAUUAGCUGGUUGGUGGGGUAACGGCUCACCAAGGCGAUGAUCCGUAGCUGGUCUGAGAGGAUGAUCAGCCACACUGGGACUGAGACACGGCCCAGACUCCUACGGGAGGCAGCAGUGGGGAAUAUUGGACAAUGGGGGCAACCCUGAUCCAGCAAUGCCGCGUGAGUGAUGAAGGCCUUAGGGUGUAAAGCUCUUUCGCCCGCGACGAUGAUGACGGUAGCGGGAGAAGAGCCCGGCUAACUUCGUGCCAGCAGCCGCGGU
rnacentral:rRNA from 1 species